AAGAUUGUUGCACCGGUGAAUUUAAUAGUCCAGAUACAUGCAAGCCUUCAGCUUCUUCGUUGUACUUCGAAGGGAAGUGCCCACAGGCUUAUAGUUAUGCUUAUGAUGACAAGACUAGCACCUUCACUUGCCCUACUGGAACUAACUACCAAAUCACAUUCUGUCCUUAAUUAAAAGGUCAAUAUAAAUUGACAUGUUAUGUUAUCUAUUUCUCACACACUAGAUAAGGUGCUCUCCCUUUUCUAGGGGUAAUGCAAAUGUAAGAGUGCUAUAAUAUUGAAUAAGUGAGAUGAAUAAACAUUGUACCUUUUGCUGUAUUGUCUCCAUUACAUGCAUGCAUUUGCCUAAAAAUUAGUAAUAUUUUGUAUUUUUGUUUUUCUCCCCACCAUCAGAAAUUUCUAUAGAUGAUCAUUUCCGAGUAGAAAAGAUUUAAAUAUUAAUAUCAACUCAUUCGUCCUUUUUUUUUUUUUUAAUAAUUGUUCUCCUUUUUUAAGUUGUGUGGCAUAUAUCUUUCUAACAUAUUUAUAAUUCUUCGUGCAAUCUAUUAUAGUAUGUUGUUUUCCCGCCAAAAUUAUUGUUUGUAAAAAGAAUAAAGUAUCAAUUAAGUAUAUAUACCAGCUUGUAAAAAAGACAUAUGUUCCCUAUUAUAAAAUUUGUUAACUCACUUUUGAGCUAUAUAUGGAUUAUAUAUGCUAUUAUUAUUGAUUUAUCACUAAUAUUCAGGUCAUGACCAGCUACAAUUGUUAAUAACAAGUACUUACGUUUGGGGAUUUUGUUACACAUUUUGGAGAUAUCUCCCUAGUUCAGAGAAAUUUCUUUUCUCUAUGAAAAAAACAUCUCUCCAUUUUCGAUGCAAUAACUAUAUUGUGUCGUGUAAACACAAGAUUAAAAUUGAGUUUUAAUGUUGGAAUCAAUAUUAACGACUUUUGGCUUACCUAUAAGGAUCAAUAUAAGUAGUUCUUGAAAAGAAGGGAACCAGGAUUUUUACCCAAAUGAUCCGGAGCCCAAGAUAGCAAGGGUGUAGCCAUAAAGCCCAAAGAACUUCCAGAUAGCCCACCAGAAUAUAGAAUCGAUGCAUGCGACCAUAUUCGAAUUAAUCAUGGGAAGACUUUCUCCACAUUUGAGCCCUAGAGGAGUAUAAUUACCUAAACACAUGAUCGUUGAAGAUGAUAGAUCGUCAUACUCCGAAAAUCAUAAAUCAUCAAAUAAAUUCCGAUUAACUUUAAUCUUUAGAUAAACUCCGAUGUUCUUCAUUCAUCAGAUAGCUAAAAAUUAACAUUUGGUGACCUUCAUUCAUGUUUUCAGCGGAGCUUUCGAUUGCUAUGCGUUGCUUGGCUUAGUUUAAAAUUAUGACUUAUGACUCUUUUGAUCUUUAUUACUAUGUAAUAUUUUUGACAAUUUAUUGUAAAUAUAAAGUACAUUCUUUAAUUUAUAAAUAAUAUUUUGACGUGAAAGUGUUAACAUGUUACAUAUAAUAAUGUUAAUAUUUUUUUAAUAUUAGUUAGAUAAUGUGUUUAUUACGUUUUAUAGUACGUACCUAUAGAACCAAUAUUGAUUAUUUUUGAAUCGAAAGUCCGUAUAUAAUUUUAGCGAAUUUUCUCAAUUGACACUUAGUUUAUUCACAAAAGUAUUAUUCUAAACAACUGCUGUAUAUUCAAAUUUGCAAGAAAAACCGGUGCAAUGUGAAACAUAAUCGUCAUUAACAUAGUCGUAGCAGUCAUUUUCUUGAAAACUAGUCUCAGGUCUGCUUUCGUCGCCUAACGACCAAAAGUCCAGAUUCAUAGUCUCGUCAUUAUAUAUUUCAUAGAAGUCUAAUUUAUAACCGGCAGUGCGUAAUACAUCCGAACCAGGGCCGUCCGAGACUUUUUUGAGGCCCUGUGCUAACGUUAAGAAUGAGGCCUUCCAAAUAAAAAAACAAAAUUUUAAUAUAUUUAAAAUAACAAAAUAUCAUAAACAAAAUUGUACUACUACAAUUGAAAAAUUGUUUUUUUUUUGGGUAGUUAAACUUAAAUAUGUGUGUGGCCGUGUAGGAUUUACUGCUUGUACAGUGUACUAAUUAGUGUUUAAAUAAAAUAAUGAUAAAAAUUAAAGAGAUUAAUUUAUCAUGAGUAUACUAAAAGAUAAAAAGAAGUAUUCAUAAAUUGGGGGCCCUAAAUUUCUAUGGGCCCUGUGCUGUUGCACUUGGUGCACUUGCUCAAAACCGGCCCUGAUCCGAACUUUGAUGUGUGAAAAUGUAAAUGAUGGGUAACUUAUAUAUGAGACUGUAAUUGCUCGAACCAAAUUCAUGCAUCAAUUGAUUAAAAUUCUAUAUAUCAUAUAUAGUGAUACAUCUCAAUGUGAACUAUAACAGUGCAUGCAUCAAACCAAUUCAAGAAGCGGCUGUGCAUAGAAUUAGGGCUGUGAAACGGAUAAUUCGGAUACGGAUCUGCCUGUAUCCGAAUCCGGAUCCGGAUCCGAAAAUCCAUAUCCGUAUCCGGAUCUGAAUCCGAAAUUUUUUAAAGGAUAAUAUCCGAAUCCGGAUCCGACGGAUACUAUCCGGAUUCGGAUAAUAUCCGGAUCCGAAUCUGAUUUUUAACCAGAAAUUUUAUUUUUCUAUUAAAAUUUCUAAAAAUCAUAAAAAAAUAGUAAAAAUUAAAAAUUAAUUUUUAAAAACUGAUUAAAAAAAUUAAAAUCAUUAAAGAAGGUUUAUAUUAAUUCAAAAAUUGAUUCUUAUUUAUCUAUUAAUAUAAAUUUGUUAUCUUUAAAAUAUUAAACUCAAAUAAAAUUAUGAUAUAUGUCUAUAAUAUUUUAAAAUUAUACAAAAUUUAUAUAAAUAUAUUAUUUUAUGUAUACAUAUAUAAAUACACACAUUAUAUAGUUAUUGAAUAAUAUUAAUAAUAUAUAAUAUUUAAUAUCAUAUAUAUUUAAUUUCGGAUGCGGAUAUUAUCGGAUACGAAUAUGCCUAUAUCCGUAUCCGUAUCCGGAAUUGUCGGAUUCGGAUGCGGAUAAUAUCCGCUUUGUCUCGGAUACGGAUAAUAUCCGCUUUAUCUCGGAUACGAAUGCGGAUUUUUCGGACGGAUAUCGGAUUUUUCGGACUUUUUUGACAGCCCUACAUAGAAUAGUGAAACACAAAAAAAGGAAAUGCAGGUAAUCAAAUUAAUAUAGUUAGAUUACUUAGCUCCUACUCAAUAUGAUCGAAUAACAAGUCAAGAGAAUACAUGGUUCUCGAUGCUACGUACGUAAUAGUCUGAUUAACUAUCGAACGAACAACGCAUAUAUAUAUCUGGGAAUGGUAUAAGCCGAUAAUAAGGCCGGCUGCCAAGACUUUUUGAACUUCCGUGGCUAGCUAAAAUUAGUUGUUAUGUGGAAAAUUGUAUAGACAAGUAAUUACCCCGCCCUAUCUAUAUGGUCUUAGCCAGCCAAGUGUGAUUCAUUGCAGCAAUCUAGUAAGCUCUGAAAUUUCAAGCGACCAAUAAAAAUGGUUACUUCAUUUCGCACGUCUUCAGAUUUUAGGCCUAUAUAAACCCCCUCAGGCCUCUGCUAUUUGCUCAUACCACAACAUUCAUCGUAUUAUCAGCUCUCAGUAUAUAUUUCAGUAUGGCACUGCAAACUCUUCUCGCUUUUUCAUUUGCUGCCCUUCUAUUGGUUGGUAAGAUUAAUUCGAUCUUCAUUCUCAUAAAUUCAUAUCUUAUAUUUGUUCUCAAAUUCAGUUAAAUAUAUCAGAAAUUAUUAUAUAUUUUACUGAUCUUAACAUUGCACGAUUUGCAGGUGGUGAGGCCGCAAAAUUCACAAUCGUAAACAACUGCCCGAACACAAUCUGGCCAGCUGCCCUAACCGGAACUGGAUCACAGCCAUCAACCACAGGCUUCGAACUCGCUUCCAAAGCCUCAAAGCCCAUCGACAUUCCAGCUCCCUGGUCCGGAAGAAUCUGGGCCCGAACAUUCUGCGCCGCCACUUGCCUAACAGGAGAGUGCGGCAAGGGCACCGGCCCAUGCAGUGGUGCUGGGGGCGCUCCGCCAGUAACCCUAGUCGAAUUCACAUUAAACGGAGACGGUGGAAAAGAUUUCUACGACGUUAGCAACGUUGAUGGCUUCAACUUGCCUGUUAGUAUAACACCAGAGAACUCACCAUGCGCAACCACAAGCUGCGCCGCGAAUAUAAACGAGGGGUGUCCGGCAGGGCAGGAGGUGAAGGGUCCAGACGGCGCAACCGUCGGCUGCAAGAGCGCCUGCGCCGUGACUAACAAGCCUGAAGAUUGCUGCACCGGUGAGUUUAACAAUGCGGAGAAAUGCAAACCAUCAGCUUCUUCCAAGUACUUCAAAGGGAAGUGUCCACAGGCUUAUAGUUAUGCUUAUGAUGACAAGAGCAGCACCUUCACUUGCCCUACUGGACCUAACUACAAAAUCACAUUCUGUCCUUGAACGGUCAAUAUAAAUUGACAUGUUAUGUUAUGAUGUAUUUCUUACAUACUGAAUAAGUUUCUCCCACUUUCGAGGG
rnacentral:lncRNA from 1 species